rnacentral:rRNA from 1 species
GAUGAACGCUGGCGGCGUGCCUAAUACAUGCAAGUCGAGCGAACAGACGAGGAGCUUGCUCCUCUGACGUUAGCGGCGGACGGGUGAGUAACACGUGGAUAACCUACCUAUAAGACUGGGAUAACUUCGGGAAACCGGAGCUAAUACCGGAUAAUAUAUUGAACCGCAUGGUUCAAUAGUGAAAGACGGUUUUGCAGUCACUUAUAGAUGGAUCCGCGCCGCAUUAGCUAGUUGGUAAGGUAACGGCUUACCAAGGCAACGAUGCGUAGCCGACCUGAGAGGGUGAUCGGCCACACUGGAACUGAGACACGGUCCAGACUCCUACGGGAGGCAGCAGUAGGGAAUCUUCCGCAAUGGGCGAAAGCCUGACGGAGCAACGCCGCGUGAGUGAUGAAGGUCUUCGGAUCGUAAAACUCUGUUAUUAGGGAAGAACAAAUGUGUAAGUAACUGUGCACGUCUUGACGGUACCUAAUCAGAAAGCCACGGCUAACUACGUG